GAGUUUGAUCAUGGCUCAGGAUGAACGCUGGCGGUAUGCCUUACACAUGCUAGUCAAACGAGAGUUUUUAACUCAAGUGGCGGACGGGUGAGUAACACGUGAGAAUUUGCCUUUAGGAGGGGGAUAACAGCUGGAAACGGCUGCUAAUACCCCAUAUGCUUUCGAGUGAAAUGGAGUAAUCCGCCUAAAGAGAAGCUCGCGGCUGAUUAGCUUGUUGGUAAGGUAACGGCUUACCAAGGCGACGAUCAGUAUCUGGUUUGAGAGGACGAUCAGACACACUGGAACUGAGACACGGUCCAGACUCCUACGGGAGGCAGCAGUGGGGAAUUUUCCGCAAUGGGCGAAAGCCUGACGGAGCAAUACCGCGUGAGGGAAGACGGCCUAUGGGUUGUAAACCUCUUUUUUCAGGGAGGAAUAACUGACGUGUACCUGAAGAAUAAGCAUCGGCUACUCCGUGCCAGCAGCCGCGGUAAGACAGAGGAUGCAAGCGUUAUCCGGAUUGAUUGGGCGUAAAGCGUUCGUAGGUGGUUUUCUAAGUCUCUUGUUAAAUCUUAGAGCUCAACUCUGACAUGGCAUGAGAAACUCGAAGGCUUGAGUAUGGUAGAGGCAGUGGGAAUUUCCGGUGUAGCGGUGAAAUGCGUAGAUCUCGGGAAGAACACCAGAGGCGAAGGCGCGCUGCUGGGCCAUGACUGACACUGAAGGACGAAAGCUAGGGGAGCGAAUGGGAUUAGAUACCCCAGUAGUCCAAGCCUAAAACGAUGGAAACUGGAUUUUUUUCUUUUGACUUUACAGUUGAAACAACGAAGAGAAUCGAAGCUAACGCGUUAAGUUUCCCGCCUGGGAAGUAUGCUCGCAAGAGUGAAACUCAAAGGAAUUGACGGGGGCCCGCACAAGCGGUGGAGCAUGUGGUUUAAUUCGAUGCAACGCGAAGAACCUUACCAGGGCUUGACAUGACACUACUUCGUAGGUAUUGGUGAAAGCCAGUUUUAGUACACAGGUGGUGCAUGGCUGUCGUUAGCUCGUGUCGUGAGAUGUUGGGUUAAGUCCCGCAACGAGCGCAACCCUUGCUUCUUGUUGUGGUUUACAGAUCAAGAAGGACUAUUGGUGACAAGCCGGAGGAAGGUGGGGAUGACGUCAAGUCAGCAUGCCCCUUACGCCUUGGGCUACACACGUGCUACAAUGAUUAAGACAAAAGGUAACUACUUCGUGAGAAAAUGUCAAUCGUUAAACUUAAUCUUAGUUCGGAUUCGUUUCUGCAACUCGAAACGAUGAAGCUGGAAUCGCUAGUAAUCGCUGGUCAGCCAUACAGCGGUGAAUACGUUCCCGGGCCUUGUACACACCGCCCGUCACACCAUGGAAGUUGGCUAUGCUCGAAGUCGUUACUUUAACCUUUUUGGAGAAGAGCGCCAAAGGCAGAGCUGGUAACUAGGGUGAAGUCGUAACAAGGUAACC
rnacentral:rRNA from 1 species